GUUCCUCCCGCGGAACGCUGGGCCGGGACUCUGUGGGGACUGUCAGCUCCUGGCAGUCUUUCUAGCUGCGUAAACCCCGGGUUCUCGUUCGGUUCCCCUUAACUGCGGCCGCCGCCCAUUCCAAGCCACUGGAGCUUCAGCUAGGCAAAGAGGGAAUUCACUUCCAGAAAGGAAGCUUUAGUCUCAAAACCAAGGGAGGCAACUACAGAACUGGACCUUGGCUGAACGUAGGAGAGGUGGAAAGGAAGAAGAGGCAGAAGGUGAGACGGAAAUGAAUCACACAGCUUGGAACCUGAGACUUCAUCAUCUCCGUCUCUGCGUGGCGGGGAUUCCUGAAGGAAAUGCUCCUACAGUUCUGCGUGGGUUGUUUCUGAAGUUGUCUGUCCCCUGGCUUCCCCUUGUGGCCCAGUUUCAAUCUAUUUGUAAACCUACCAGCCCUCAAGAGCUCCCCAGACAGAAACUGCCAGUCAUGACAUUGUCGUAUUUACUCUCAGCCACUUUUAGAGACUGUCUAGGACACUGAUGUUUGAGCUAGUCUCCUCUUUCCCCUGGGAUCCCACAUACUUGCUCAUCUGGAUAAGACCAAUAUAUCCGCAUUUUAAUUUUUAUUAAACCGCAUUUCCAGGUUUAAUAUACAGCCAAGCUUGAAAAACCUUUCGUUAUUUAGUGUUUCAGAGUGUGGGCCUGGACCGAGGCCCCUGAUUCUGCCGUUUCAGCAUCACCAUCCAAACCCACUGAAUUAGAGAAUCAGAGAAUGGACCCUCAACAUGCCAGAGACCUCACACUGUUAUAUAAAUGUAACUCAAAAUAGAUCUUACUCUUAAAUAUAAGACCUGACCUUCAAAGUUGUCUCAGGGAAACAUUUGUAAAGAUUUAAUAGCUUUUUUUUGGGGGGGGGGAUGAAGAUUUCUAAAACAGGACACUAAAAGGGAAAACUAUACAACAAUAAAAUCAACAAAUUGACUUCACCAAAUAAAAACCUCUAUUCUUUGGAAGAUA